AUUACAUUACAUGACUGAAAAAGCAUCAAGCUACCUUUCUAUUAAUGGACUACUAAAGUCACCCACACCACUUAAUCUCAAUGAAGUGGUGUGGGUUCAGUGGUCCUGUCAUUUUAACAUUUGGAUACAUUGCGAUAUUUACAUUGCAGGGUUAAACAUACAUGUGUUCCAGACAGUCACUAGAGGUUCAUUUGCUGAACAGACCAAAACUCGUAGUUCAUAGGAAAACAUUGAAUUCAGUGCUGCUGCAUUUGGCACGG